rnacentral:misc_RNA from 1 species
AAAAAAUCAAGGUCCCGUAGGACGUCUCUGAAAGGCUCAGGGGCAACCGGUGGCCUAAUAACAGAAGGAUCUGGGACGCUGGGAUCUGGUACUAUGGGCUUAGAAGAUGGCUCAGACGAUGGUACAACCUGCAAAAAUAGAUAUGUCAGAGGAAGAAAAUUUAUGACAAAUAGAUAAGGGUAAGAUGGUACCUCAGGCUGUGGGACUGAUAUAGGCUCUGUGUGAUCAGCAGUAGGAAUAACAUCAGGCUCGGUGGCAGUGGCUGUGUCAGAUGUCGGGUCCGGAACCGCAUCUGCAUGGGUAUCCGGUGCCGAGUCUGGAACAAUAUGAUCUGGGACAUCAUCAAAG